UACAGAGGGGGCAAGCGUUGUUCGGAAUUACUGGGCGUAAGGGGCGCGUAGGCGGCCUUCUAAGUCGAACGUGAAAUCCCCGGGCUCAACCCGGGAACUGCGUCCGAUACUGGAAGGCUUGAAUCCGGGAGAGGGAUGCGGAAUUCCAGGUGUAGCGGUGAAAUGCGUAGAUAUCUGGAGGAACACCGGUGGCGAAGGCGGCAUCCUGGACCGGCAUUGACGCUAAGGCGCGAAAGCUAGGGGAGCAAACGGG
rnacentral:rRNA from 1 species